UAUGAUAUGGAUUUGGGGUUCUUUGAUAUAAUUUUGUUGCCUGUUUGGUAUGGUUGUGAUAUAUGAAUUGUUUGAAAAAAAUUGUAAGAUCUGAAUUGUUGAUAUCGAUUGUUUCUAAUUUUGUAUGGUUUGAUGGUUGUGUAGAGUUUCGAUGACAUGAUUUGUAUGCUGGUUGUAUUAGAAAUGGUAGAAUCUGUUGUUAGUUUGAAAUGGUUUUCUUUGAUUGAUCGAUGCUAGUUAUAGUUGUGUUUAGGUGCUAGUUUGACUUGUAUAUUUGGUUCUGAUCUUUU
rnacentral:lncRNA from 1 species